CUCAAUGUUUUUUUAAAUUGCUGUAGUAUUUUGACUAUACAAAGGUAUUGAAAUAAGAUUUUAAUUGAAUGUUAAGAGAAUGAAUUAACAAAAAAAAUCUUUUUUAAAUUUAAAAAUUGAAAUUAUUUUUAUUUGUGAAGAAACAAUAAUAUAAAUUAAGGACAAGAAGACCCUAAGAAUUUUUACUUUUUUUUGAAAAAGUUUAAUUGGGGAGAUUAAUAAAAAUUAAAAACUUUAUUUUAAUAAAAAUGAA
rnacentral:rRNA from 1 species